UACAGAGGGUGCGAGCGUUAAUCGGAAUUACUGGGCGUAAAGCGCGCGUAGGCGGCUUUGCAAGCCGGAUGUGAAAUCCCCGGGCUUAACCUGGGAACUGCGCUUCUAACUGGCAGGCUUGAGUGUGGCAGAGGGGGGUGGAAUUCCACGUGUAGCAGUGAAAUGCGUAGAGAUGUGGAGGAACACCGAUGGCGAAGGCAGCCCCCUGGGCUAACACUGACGCCUCAUGCACGAAAGCGUGGGGAGCAAACAGG
rnacentral:rRNA from 1 species